AUGAACGCUGGCGGCGUGCUUAACACAUGCAAGUCGCACGGAAAGGCUCCUGCUUGCAGGGGUACUCGAGUGGCGAACGGGUGAGUAACACGUGGGUGAUCUGCCCUGCACUUCGGGAUAAGCCUGGGAAACUGGGUCUAAUACCGGAUAGGACCACAUUUUGGAUGGUGUGGUGGAAAGUUUUUCGGUGUGGGAUGAGCUCGCGGCCUAUCAGCUUGUUGGUGGGGUAAUGGCCUACCAAGGCGUCGACGGGUAGCCGGCCUGAGAGGGUGUACGGCCACAUUGGGACUGAGAUACGGCCCAGACUCCUACGGGAGGCAGCAGUGGGGAAUAUUGCACAAUGGGCGCAAGCCUGAUGCAGCGACGCCGCGUGGGGGAUGACGGCCUUCGGGUUGUAAACUCCUUUCGCUAGGGACGAAGCGUUUUUGUGACGGUACCUGGAGAAGAAGCACCGGCUAACUACGUG
rnacentral:rRNA from 1 species